AUUGAACGCUGGCGGCAUGCUUUACACAUGCAAGUCGAACGGUAACAGCACUUCGGUGGCUGACGAGUGGCGAACGGGUGAGUAAUACAUCGGAACGUGCCUAGUAGUGGGGGAUAACUACUCGAAAGAGUAGCUAAUACCGCAUGAGAUCUAAGGAUGAAAGCAGGGGACCUUCGGGCCUUGCGCUACUAGAGCGGCUGAUGGCAGAUUAGGUAGUUGGUGGGAUAAAAGCUUACCAAGCCGACGAUCUGUAGCUGGUCUGAGAGGACGACCAGCCACACUGGGACUGAGACACGGCCCAGACUCCUACGGGAGGCAGCAGUGGGGAAUUUAGGGCAAUGGGCGCAAGCCUGAUCCAGCAAUGCCGCGUGCAGGAUGAAGGCCUUCGGGUUGUAAACUGCUUUUGUACGGAACGAAAAGCCCUCUUCUAAUACAGGAGGGUCAUGACGGUACCGUAAGAAUAAGCACCGGCUAACUACGUG
rnacentral:rRNA from 1 species